rnacentral:rRNA from 1 species
AGCAGUAGCCGCGGUAAUACGAAGGGUGCAAGCGUUACUCGGAAUUACUGGGCGUAAAGCGUGCGUAGGUGGUGGUUUAAGUCCGUUGUGAAAGCCCUGGGCUCAACCUGGGAAUUGCAGUGGAUACUGGGUCACUAGAGUGUGGUAGAGGAUAGUGGAAUUUCCGGUGUAGCAGUGAAAUGCGUAGAGAUCGGAAGGAACAUCUGUGGCGAAGGCGACUAUCUGGGCCAACACUGACACUGAGGCACGAAAGCGUGGGGAGCAAACAGGAUUAGAUACCCCGGUAGUCCCUGUCUCUUAUAU